rnacentral:rRNA from 1 species
AACGCGAAGAACCUUACCCGGGCUUGAACUGCCAGCGAACGAUACAGAGAUGUUGAGGCCCUUCGGGGCGCUGGUGGAGGUGCUGCAUGGUUGUCGUCAGCUCGUGCCGUGAGGUGUCGGCUUAAGUGCCAUAACGAGCGCAACCCUUUUCAUCAGUUGCCAUCAGGUGAUGCUGGGCACUCUGGCGACACUGCCACCGUAAGGUGUGAGGAAGGUGGGGAUGACGUCAAAUCAGCACGGCCCUUACGUCCGGGGCUACACACGUGUUACAAUGGGGCAUACAGAAGGCCGGUUCGUGGCAACACGGAUCCAAUCUUUAAAGUGCCUCGUAGUUCGGAUUGGGGUCUGCAACCCGACCCCAUGAAGCUGGAUUCGCUAGUAAUCGCGCAUCAGCCAUGGCGCGGUGAAUACGUUCCCGGGUCUUGUACACACCGA